rnacentral:rRNA from 1 species
AGUGAACGCUGGCGGUAGGCCUAACACAUGCAAGUCGAACGGCAGCACAGUAAGAGCUUGCUCUUACGGGUGGCGAGUGGCGGACGGGUGAGGAAUACAUCGGAAUCUACUUUUUCGUGGGGGAUAACGUAGGGAAACUUACGCUAAUACCGCAUACGACCUACGGGUGAAAGCAGGGGAUCUUCGGACCUUGCGCGAUUGAAUGAGCCGAUGUCGGAUUAGAUAGUUGGCGGGGUAAAGGCCCACCAAGGCGACGAUCCGUAGCUGGUCUGAGAGGAUGAUCAGCCACACUGGAACUGAGACACGGUCCAGACUCCUACGGGAGGCAGCAGUGGGGAAUAUUGGACAAUGGGCGCAAGCCUGAUCCAGCCAUACCGCGUGAGUGAAGAAGGCCUUCGGGUUGUAAAGCCCUUUUGUUGGGAAAGAAAAGCAGCAGGUUAAUACCCCGCUGUUCUGACGGUACCCAAAGAAUAAGCACCGGCUAACUUCGUG